rnacentral:misc_RNA from 1 species
AAGUCGUAACAAGGUUUCCGUAGGUGAACCUGCGGAAGGAUCAUUACCGAGUUCAUGCCCUUCGGGGUAGAUCUCUCACCCUUUGUAUACUAUACCUUUGUUGCUUUGGCGGGCCGCCUAGCUACUGGCUUCGGCUGGUAAGUGCCCGCCAGAGAACCCAAAACCCUGAAUUAUUAGUGUCGUCUGAGUAAAAUAUUUAAUAUUUAAAACUUUCAACAACGGAUCUCUUGGCUCUG